rnacentral:rRNA from 1 species
UUGGUGUGAAUUGCAGAAUCCCGCGAACCAUCGAGUCUUUGAACGCAAGUUGCGCCCGAAGCCAUCCGGCCGAGGGCACGUCUGCCUGGGCGUCACGC